GCAUUUCUCCAUACUACCCUGAAUGCGCCCGAUCUCGUCUGAUCUCAGAAGCUAAGCAGGGUUGGGCCUGAUUAGUACUGGGAUGGAAUUCCACCUGGGAAUACUGGGUGCUGUAGGCU
ensembl:rRNA 5S_rRNA 5S ribosomal RNA